rnacentral:rRNA from 1 species
AUACGGGAGGCAGCAGUGGGGAAUAUUGCACAAUGGGCGAAAGCCUGAUGCAGCGACGCCGCGUGAGGGAUGACGGCCUUCGGGUUGUAAACCUCUUUCAGCAGGGAAGAAGCGAGAGUGACGGUACCUGCAGAAGAAGCGCCGGCUAACUACGUGCCAGCAGCCGCGGUAAUACGUAGGGCGCAAGCGUUGUCCGGAAUUAUUGGGCGUAAAGAGCUCGUAGGCGGCUUGUCACGUCGGUUGUGAAAGCCCGGGGCUUAACCCCGGGUCUGCAGUCGAUACGGGCAGGCUAGAGUUCGGUAGGGGAGAUCGGAAUUCCUGGUGUAGCGGUGAAAUGCGCAGAUAUCAGGAGGAACACCGGUGGCGAAGGCGGAUCUCUGGGCCGAUACUGACGCUGAGGAGCGAAAGCGUGGGGAGCGAACAGGAUUAGAUACCCUGGUAGC